GUCUGCAAUGUUGUUUUUGAUCAUUGCAAUUAGGGGGCAGGAACAGUCAGGAUGAGGAUUGCUGUUGUAGCAGGAGCCAAGGGGACUGGUUUAGAUGGUGUUUAGUUUCUCUCUUUGAAU